ensembl:lncRNA
UGACCUGCUAGUCCCACUUCUAGGAAUUUGCAGUUAGCUGUGCACAACACACUGAAGAACUUGUUGGAGAAGGUUCAUGGAAAAGUAGCCCGUGCCGUAUCUGCCUGAGUGCCUGCAUGCUCUCCAUCGUGAUAAUGAACACUGACCUGAAAAUGGACAUGGACUGAACCUCUCAAACUAUAAGCAUCAUCAUCUCCAAAAGAUGAGAGUGUGUGACAGAUGUAACAGCACAUUGCGUGAACAGAUUACUCAGUGGAGUCACAGAUGCAUCUAGCAAGACUCUGUAAUGUCAUCUGCUACCAGUCAAGUGCCCUUCUCCCACAAUGCAGUGAUUACAGAGUUCUGAAAAUAAACUAAGAAAAAGGAGGAAGGAAAGGAAAUUUGAACCUAAAAAAAAAAAAAACACAGGUAAAUAAGAUUGACACAUGAGAGGUAUUUAAGACAAUGACCAGAGUCUCAGAACUGGCAUUCAUUCUCCAGCCAUGCUGAGGAGAGGAAGGCAUUCAUUCUCCAGCCAUGCAUGCUGUGGAGAAGCAGAAGUCUGACUUGGUGAGAGCUCAUGGAGACAGGAUCAGCCCUUUAAGCCUGAGGUAGAGGUAAUUGCAGCAGCAUGUUAUGAGCUGGCAAACAUUGAAAGCAACAAGGUAUCCUGUCAUGGACCAGUGUUUGUGGCACUGUGGUUGGGGACCAGCCAAGCAGCCCCAGGGAAGCUGCCGGCAAUGCCAAAUGGCCUUCAUUUUCUCACUGAAGUAGAAGCUAUAAUGGUAACUGGCAGCAUUUAACUGAUGCAGUGCUGCAGAAUGCUGACUCAAGGGAAGGGAAUGAGGAAGUGAAGACAAGCAUGGACAGCACUAUUAAGAUUUGCCUGGAAGACAGAUUUACAAGCUCACCUGGAUGACCUGGAUGAGGAAACUCACCCAGGUGUGCAAAGAACUCAAGGCAAUGGGUCAGACCUUCAACGUCAAAUCUUCUGACAAGCUUUAAACCAUUUAAUUAGUAUCUGGAGUAUUUUUGAAGUACUUACUUAAUCAUCAUACUAUUAAUUUUCAUAAAGUAAUAAUAAUGCAGUCAUUCACACAAUUCUCUGAUAUUUAGAAUGUAUCAGAAUCAGUUGUUGAAGAAGCAGCUUGGGGGCUGGGAAGGGUCCAGAUGUGACUGUAGAAAUAUAGUACAGCCUUAUGCUGAGACCCACACCUAUCAUAAGGAAAACAACUGCAAGUUGUGUAAUUAAGACCAUUCCUAGGAAAAAAUAUUUAUUUUCCUAGCCAUAUACCUUACUAUAGAAGAAGUCAAGAUAAAAGUGAUCCCACAACUUCAUCUGAAAGCGCAUGUCUGAUACACACACCCAGGAAAUAGUUUCCUCUUGGCUUCUGCUUAAGGUCAGUGCAUAUGCCAUGCAUGAAAUGAAUGUCGCUCCAAGUAGGACUACCUCGGAAUAAUAAAUCACAUUGCCAUUUAGGUUUGGGAUAUUGGUUCUUAAAUGUUACACUGAGAGUAGGUGUUAAGAACAAAUGUGAAUUUAUUAAUACAAGAACACAAAGAACAAAGGAGGAGAAAAGAGAACAUAAAAAAUAUUGCUCAGAUAUGUGCCAGCACAGAGCUAAGUGAUCUGAAAUGCAUGAUCUUUUCAGUUUACAGAAAAGGUCUUUCAAAGCUAUUUUCUACAUGCUCCAACAUGGCAAAAGUGAGGCUCAGACAAGUCAGUUUCCAAAAAUAUUAUGUUAUGUACAGAGUCAAUGCGUACAUGGCCUAACCAAAUUUUAACUACACUAUGAAAUAUAAUGUGAUAACCAAAAUAGCAAAAUCUUGUCAUUAGGCUAUGACACACUGCUCUACUUUCUGAUAGGCUUGUUGUUGUUUGUUUGUUUUGAGAAGGAAACAAUUUUGUGGAAAUUCUUAAGACUUCUGCUAAACUGUGUCCACUGUGCUUAGCUGUGUCUGCUUGUCACAUGGCGUUCAUGGGAACAUGACACAUAUUGGGAGAAAGCAUCCACUCCUGACUCCUGACUCGGUCUGAAACUCAUUCAAACGUCAGGAACACAGGAAUAGGAAGUAAUAGUACAUCUGUACUAUACCAGUGGGAGUUGCACAUGUAAGUGACUUCUGUUUAUAUAAAAAAUGAUAAUCUUAACAGAUUUUUCUUGGUUGUAUCUAUAGAAGACUGGCCAUCCCAGGUCAGAGCUGGGUUUUAUUGGGGUUCAGUGUGCUCAGAGUCCAGGCAAGGCCUGACCAUGGUAUAAAAUGCUAUCUGGUAUAGAGUAGGCAUGUUUCAUGGAACAGUAACAACCCGGGCCACCUUAAUUCACAAAGAGGGAUACAAAGAGUAGAGACCCAGACAAUUUUAAGGACUAACUCCUCCCUGCUCUUCUGUAUGCUUCCAGCCUUUGUAUUGUAGGCAUUUUGCAUGUUGAUCUAUUCUCUGUCUACUUGACAAUCCUCUGGGCAGUCUCCAGCCCAACACAUUCAGGAAGUAAGUCUGUGCAGCAGGCUCCCUUGUUCAUGGAAAUUUCUUUGGGGUAGAGAUCUUUACUCCAACAUACUUCUUCAAAACUUGAGUUAAGUCUUCCACAGUGCAGUAAGUGUCCCAUGGGUGUUUAGUGAAUGACAGGAUUCAGGUUUCUUAAACUGGAAACCAUGCAAAUACAAGAUCUGACCAGGGAGGCGGGGGAGGACCAUGGCUAAGGCAUUGUUUCCCUGUCCUCUGACUCCAUGAUUGAUUUAGUUUGUAUCAACACUAAGCAGUUUGGCCAGGUCUUGCACGUGUUUCUCAGUACAGUUUCACAUUUCUAUUUUUGUUCUUAUAGAACAAGGGAAAACUAUAUAAACUAUAUAAACUAUUUAUUCAAUAUUCUUUACAAAAUAAGCCUGAUGUUUGAAGUCCAAAUAUGCCAAUAUAUCAAGAUUUUUAAGAAGUUCAAAAGUGGGUUUUUUCCUGGACUGGGGUGGUACAAAUCUAAAUGUCUGCUGACUUUAAAUAAAAUGUUUUUGUUAACUAACAAGACUCUUAGGGUUUUCCUUCAUAAACUGACAACAAUACCACAUGUUCAUGUUAUAGAUAGUUUUGCCCUCAUUAGAAAGGAACCUAUCUCCUAGCCAUAUAAUCCUUCAGAUAACUGACAGGCUGGUGAGGCAUAAGAUGCAGGCUAAGACACCUACUUUGCUUUACAAAAACAGUGAAAAUGAGUAACAAAAUACAUUUAAAGCCAUCAGAGAUGUGUGCAUAUCUUGGUAACCUCAUUAUUUCUAGCUUGGUACCUACACAAGUAAUCUGUUGAAAAAUUCUGCCUGUUGUGAGACUUGAGUUUAUAUAAUGUAAAUACACAAGGCUCUACACUGUACCUUUCCC